CGCACUAACCGGGGAGAUAGCGGUGCCCUGUACCUGCAAUCCGCUACAGCAGGGGUGAAUGUGUUUCUGAGGGUUUAUAAUGUGAUGUCAGCCGCGUUCAGACGAUGUUGAGGAGCCGGUCCCGCGCAACGGACGGCUGUGAACCAUGUCAGGCGGGGAACCGAGCAGCAUUAAGCAGUUUUGUUCCGUGUGCCGCGGGGGUUCCGGCUCUGAGUCUUU
rnacentral:SRP_RNA from 1 species